rnacentral:rRNA from 1 species
AUGCGGGUGAUUGCAUACGGCGUUCCGGCUGACUAUGCCGAUGAGUACCUUCGCAUUGGUGAAGAUACCACAAUUGAGUCAGUGCGUAGGUUUGCCAAAGUGAUCAUCCGUGUCUUUGGUCCUGAAUAUCUUCGGGCACCCAACGAGGAUGACAAAAAAAAUUUGAUGGCAUCUAAGAAGAGGAGAGGUUGGCCUGGCAUGCUGGGUAGCAUUGACUGUAUGCGGUACUCUCAAUGA